CAAUGGAAUUUUCAUAGUGUCUAGCUAAGCAUUAUACAGCUCCUUACUUCAGCAGGAAACCUUUGCAACUCCCGCUCCUCAAACAAAACUCUUUGUUUUAUAAUACAAAAGACAAUGAACAAACAUCUAUGGUAUAUGUAUUACAGCUCUCAGGCAGAACCUGAAGGCGCUCUGUGCUUUGGCUCUGGACACUGGUGGCCUUUGCCAGGCUUCACUUGGUUCAUCUGGGAAUGCUCACAGUCUGGCACCUUUUCUGACAGGUCUUGCCUUGGGUUUUCUCACAUGGAGCCCUUAGCUCUCUACUACAAGUCUGCUCAUGCAGAACUGCUGUGUGUUUGUGCUCACUGCUGUAUCUCCAUAUUUUAUUUUUUUUUCCCAGAACAUUCUGCACUUCACAAGGAACGCAUUUGAAAAGGUGCUUAAAAUCUACACCUGGAUGCCUGACUGGGCCCUGAAAUCCUUAGGUGCCACAAUUGAUGUGCAGAGGACUUCCAAGAGUUGUGGUGGGAAAGGCGCAAAGAAGUGGUGGACUUUUCCACUCUUUUCUUUUGCAAAACAUCCAGAGACUAUAUUGCAGCCCAGGAUCUCCCCAGGCGACUGCUGGGCCUUCCGAGGAUCUCAGGGACACGUCGUCAUUCGGUUGCCGGUGACAAUCUGGCCAGCAGCUUUUACCAUCUGGCAUAUCUCCAGGCCAGUCUCUC